CCUACGGGUGGCUGCAGUGAGGAAUAUUGGUCAAUGGGCGCGAGCCUGAACCAGCCAAGUAGCGUGAGGGAUGACUGCCCUACGGGUUGUAAACUUCUUUUAUAAGGGAAUAAAGUGAGGCACGUGUGCCUCUUUGUAUGUACUUUAUGACUAAGGAUCGGCUAACUCCGUGCCAGCAGCCGCGGUAAUACGGCGGAUCCGAGCGUUAUCCGGAUUUAUUGGGUUUAAAGGGAGCGUAGAUGGGUUGUUAAGUCAGUUGUGAAAGUUUGCGGCUCAACCGUAAAAGUGCAAUUGAUACUGGUAGUCUUGAGUACAGUUGAGGUAGGCGGAAUUCGUGGUGUAGCGGUGAAAUGCUUAGAUAUCACGAAGAACUCCGAUUGCGAAGGCAGCUUACUAACCUGCAACUGACAUUGAUGCUCGAAAGUGUGGGUAUCAAACAGGAUUAGAUACCCCAGUAGUC
rnacentral:rRNA from 1 species